GUCUUUUCAUGUCUUCCUCGCAAAUGACAUUGCAAGCUAGAGGAAGAGGAGGACACCCUGUGCCCUUUUAGGGAAGUAUCUGCACAAUUCUAGGCAGGCUGUGGACAAUUCAGAUAGGUGAGCAGACAUAGCUAUCUCCUGGGAAACAAAUCUUUUUGUGAGAAUCUCUAUUUUCCUGAAGGAGAAAACCUCUUUCAGGAAACCUGUGGGUUCCUAAGUUUGUGCGGCAUUAGCUUGCACAGUUCACAUUGAAAAGGAUAUUAAAGCAGUCUUUAAAAAUAAUUACAAAUAAUAUUCCUUUUUCUUUUUCUGCAUUAAUAAUACUUUGUUUGUCAUUCAUUCAGGCACAAUGCAGCACUGAACCAAGUCUUCCUUUAAAUAAUCCUGCUUCCAGCUGGUUACAUUGUUCACCCAAAUCUGUGUGUGAGUGGCAGUCGAAGGCUUGAUUUCCCCUUCCUGAUGUAAUUUAAAUACGAAGCCUCUGUGUGUUCAUCUUGCCAGCAGUCCUCUCCCACAUCCUGGUGGCCUGGGGCAGCGGGGCGCAGGGCAGAGCCUGCCGGGGCCCCUUCUCUUGGGGCGCCUUCCUCCGAGGCAGCCUUGUGCCAGAGGCUGUGCCCCAGGGCUCGCUCAGAGGGGGAGAGUUGGGCACAAAGGCAGUCCUGCUGGCUAGAAAAGAGAAGGAAAACUGUGCAAUUUAAGGGGUGCCCACUGUUAUUGUGUGUAAAAGCUUUUUUUUUGUUUUUUUUUUUUGUUUUUUGGAAUUUUUUCCUUUGCCUGAUACUAUUCUGCAGUGUGCAUUAUUCCAGGGAAGGGAAGAGAUCCGAUAGUACAGCCUGCCUCACUGCUCCAGACGGUAACUGGUCCUUGGCAUUGCAGAGUAAACGUGUGGGAUACAGGACUCUACUCAGCUUGGAACCCUUGGAACUGCAGCCCAACAGAAAACUCCCAUCUCAGAUUUGGCCAGGAUGACUUCAAGGCAUUUGUCUGAGUUUGCACAGUUGAAUGGUGUGGAGGACAGAGCCAUGGUGGGGAAAAGAAUGAAGAACAAUUAGAAGAUGUGAUAUCCAGGGAGCAGCAUGGGAAAUUCAGCCAGAGCUGAAGGUAAGAAGUGGAGGCAGGAAUUCAGGAAUUCCUCUGAGUCUGCAGCAUGGGAGGAGAUUGUUUUGCUUUAUAUGAACUAUGAGUGCACUUUUG
rnacentral:lncRNA from 1 species